AGAGUCUACAUGGUCCACAGAUUUUCAGUGGAUCUGAGGUUGGACUUCAGGGGAUCAAGAAAUUCCUUGAAGUGAAGUGCAAUCAUUGACCUAAAUUUUUGUAGAUAAAUUUUUCUAAGACAAGGACCCAUAUCUUUCAUCAGAUUAUCAAGAAGAUCGAGAUCCCAAAAAGCUAAGGAGCUACUGUCCUGGAAGGGAAGAAAACCCACUCCUGGCUUCAAAAGACAGCCAUUGGCUCUAUAACCCUGGCCAGAGUCCAGACAGGAUUGGGGAGAGGAGGUGGGAAACCUAUCCCCUGAUGGCACAGCAGAGACAGAGGCAUAUUGUGUGAUGGGAAAAUAUUAAAUCAACAGUUUGGAAACUGAAGUUCUGCCUGCAGUUCCUGCUCUUGUCUUUGGUACCAGAAACAAGUUACUCGAUUUCUCUUGGCCCCAAUUCCUUUUCUUGUUCAACAGAUAGUUGUUGAAACCUACCAUGAACACUGUUUUACUGGGGAUUUGAAGGUGAAGAAAGCAUACACAGUCUUUGUUCUUGUGGAACUGACAUUCUAGUAGGAAAAUGAGAUAUGACCACAAAGAGAUAGGAACCCAACUUCAUCAUGUGAAGUCACCCAUAUUUUUAUGUCUGUGGCUUCUUUGUCUGUAAAAUUG
rnacentral:lncRNA from 12 species